AGUCUUCAAGCGUGCGAGACGAGGGACCAUCCAUUACUUCGAAGAUUUGAAAAUUUAAACGUCUAACGAGAUUUGUUGCUGCGACGAUUUGUGUUGGUAGCCAACUAGCUACGGGCACGGGCGUGCGAAGUGUGUAUCGUCGCAGGCACCCAUCGUCGGCAGGACGCACGCUCUCGGCAGGAUCCAGCUAUCAGUUGAGAUAUUGAGUGAUCGCGAUCACGAUAAACAGUCUCUCGCGAUUGCGUCUUCGAUCGCGUAUCGAACGCACCGUGUGUACAAUCUGGUGCAGAGUUGGAAGGUAGUUUUUUUCCGCAAAUUUUCCGUUCGUUCAAGGGUCAGAUAAGGGCAACAUGGCGACCAUGGCCAGGAGAUUGUGAUAAAAUAAACAAAUCGUAUCUUAUAUGAUUUAAAACUCUGAAAGAGAGAGAGAGAGAGAGAGAAAGAAAGAUAAAUGAAAUGAAGACACGUUAAAUCUGAAAUGACGAAAACGUUUGGAAACUAAGCUUUAGAAAAGCGUACAUCUUGCACAGGCAAAGUUAUAUAUGUAAAAUUAAUAUAAGUAACUCAAUUUUGAGAUUAAUCAGUUUAAUAACAGUUGAUUAAAAUCAUACAGGCUAUUUUUAUUUGCCUCAUAUGAAUGUUUUUCUCUAAUAGAAUGCUAAGUCAUGUGAGCGUGAAAUUAUUGUUCGCUAAGUGUAGUCAUUAAUUUACAUUAAAAUUUGUUUUUGCAACUCUGUAUAUUUCACAUACAUAUAUAUUUAUAUAUAUUUAUAAAUUCUGUGACAAGGGAUAGACAGAGUUAAUUGUAGUGUCUCAUCAUUUCUGAAUUCCCAAUUUCAUUACCAUACAGUCUCGUCUCCUUGUAGCUGAAUUAUGAUCUUGUUGAAUUUUAGAUUUACAUUGUAAAAUCUCAAAAGAUACAAUAUAAUAUCUUGCAAAACUGCACUAAAAAGAUAAAAAAAUA